ACAGUGUUCAAAUGUGUAUUACAAUACUAAUUGCCAAGGAUUUGCUCUCAUUUAUCAAUUUUUUGUAGUAAUUCAGUAUAGCGUUCUUUAUGACCGUCAUAUAAAAUUUAGUACAAAGACAAAAAUUGUUUUAAGCAUCAUUAACACAAACCAUACUUUAGUGUAUGUUUGUCACUAAAACCCCAUUCUUUUAAUGAUUAUCAUCCCUGAAGUAGCUAAGCUGACAAAAACAAGAGGCUUUGGGACCUAGAGUUAGCUUUGAAACAUGUGCUUGUAUGCAUAAAUAUGAUAUAGAUUUAGAAGGGCUGGAAGUUCCUUUUUCUUGUUCAUGGAUAAUUGUAAUAAUCCACACAAAGAGAACUUGGAAUGUUAUGUUCAACUUGGGUCACACAACUGGCUAACGUGCAUUGAAGGGCUGUGCAUCAUUGACAGUGAGCAUAUAUGUAGUUUAAUCUUUUAGCUUCCUCAAUCUUAUCUUUUAGUUCUGUUUAACUUUUAGUUCUAGUUUUAUUAAUGAGUAUGGCUGAGACUAGAAUAUCCUGCAGUUGUUUGGAACGUUUUAUGGGCAUAAUUUAAUAAGCCACAUCAAGUGUUAGUUUAUGGAAGUGAAAAACAGGCGAGGUUUUAGGUUUUUGCUCGAAGGUGUCAUGUUCUGGGUUUUCUCAGUUUUGGGGGUGAUUGGAAAUAAAGUGUUUCUUUCCAAUGGCCAUCCAAUCCGUUACUUCUAUCUCUUCUCUUUUUUUUUCAAUCACAUGUCAAAGGGUCAUGUUUAGUGGUUUGAGUUCUAGUAUUAAAAUUGGCACCAAUGCUUAUUACCUCUCCAUAUGUAUCUCUCUGAUUUCUCAUUUAUCUUCUUCUUUCCCCUAUUCCUUAUGUUGUAGAGACCUAUCCGAUCUUUCAUCAUUAUGUUUUUAGCUCAUGUAAAACUAUUCACAACCCACCCAACUUCCUUUCCAAUGUUAACCUUAUCAUAAUAAACCAUAGUUCUAAAUUCUAAAUUGGAAUCCUGAAGCAGAAUCCUGAAGCCAUUAAUUUAUCCUAUCAUUUUGGAGUUUAUUAAUAGCCUAUUAAAGCCUUUAUCCCGUUACUGCAUAAAAUCCUUCCUUUAUAAUUAAUAGAAAUUUAAACUUUUCAGUCUUUCUAACCUUUUGCCAAACUCUUUGGGCACUCAUUUUAUAGGUUUCUAAAUGCAUUCAGAGUAACAAGGGUUUGUAGAAGCCAUCGUCUAUAUUCCUUAGCCUAUAGUAACAUAUGCAAAUUCCCAACAUUUGGAGUCGACAAUAAUGAUGCUAAGGAGUUAAAUGCUUUCAAAGAAACAAAUUAUUGUAAAUGCCAUCCCAUACGUUCUCUUGUUGUCCUAUAGUAUGAUAUGUGAAUUUCCAAAUCUUGGAGUUUGCACCGAUGAUGCUUACCUUAUUGUUCUGAUGUUUUAAGUGGUUGCAAUUAAGUAUUGGUUUUUAAGUUUCAAUUGCCACUGAGCUUUUUUAUUUUUUUUGACAAAUAAUUGACCCAAGCCAAAACCGAUAAAAGAUCAAUCCUCGUUGUUAAGUUUUCAUUGGUUUAACUUUCAAAUCUUUCAUGGGGACAAAUUUACUGUAUAUUGGUGAUUAAUCUCAUUAUCAGGUCAGUGCUUCUUCGCAUUUGAGUUUUGAGGGGUCAGCUUGCUUCAGCAAUUAUUCUUGCUUCCUGGAAAUUUCUCUUUUGGAGAUCUAUGAAGAUUAUGAUUUUUGACUAAGCAAGCAGGUUUUAGAUUUUAAGUAUUUUUGGAUGUGCUGUUGGUUUGGAGAACAGUUGACCAAAUUGUCUCUGUAACUGAGCUAUAUAAUUGGAGCUUCAAUCCAGUACUAGGAAUCCUGGGCCUUGAUUUCAUUUGUGAUUUUCUGUAAGCUUGUCCAUACAAAGUCCUUUGCAUUAUGACUUUCUGUUGUCAUGCUGAUCCAAAAAUAUUACUUUCAUAACCUGCCAUUUUAUGUGAUUCAGGGCAAAUGCUUUCUCCUGUUGAUGUACUUGUAAAACCUAUACCGGUUUGCAGUACAAAUGUAUGAGCUUCUAUUUUGAAAUGUGAAAGGAUGGCUUAAUCUUAUGUCAUAGAAUUUUGGAGUG